GAAGUUAAAAGGAUAAAUGAUGAGAAAAAGGCUGCAUUGGCUGCUCAGUUUGCAGCAGAAGCAACUUUGCGAAGAGUACAUGCAGCCCAAAAGGAUGAUGACAUGCCGCCAAUUGAAGCCAUUCUUGCUCCACUUGAAGCUGAACUAAAGCUUUCUCGGCAGGAGAUUUCAAAGCUCCAGGAUGACAACAGAGCAUUGGAUCGUCUAACAAAA